GCCCGGGUGGUGGAACUGGUAGACACGCAGGACUUAAAAUCCUGUGGCACUUAAAUGCCGUGCGGGUUCAAUUCCCGCCCCGGGUA
rnacentral:tRNA from 1 species